UGGUGCGUAACUCAAUUGGCAGAGUAAUAGGCUUUUAACUUAAAGGUUGAUGGUUCAAAUCCAUCCGUACUAA
rnacentral:tRNA from 1 species